AGACAACAAAAUGUUUAAUAUUAUUAUUUUGUCACCUUAGGUCGAUCGGUAUCUCACAUUCUUAAUUUAUUAAGGAUUUUAUUUCCUAAGUUUUUCUAGGUCACACCCAUUAUUUUUCCUGGGCCAUUAGCUCAGGUGGUUAGAGCGCACCCCUGAUAAGGGUGAGGUCCCUGGUUCAAGUCCAGGAUGGCCCAUAUCUCUAUGUUGGGGGUAUAGCUCAGUUGGUAGAGCGCCUGCUUUGCAAGCAGGAUGUCAGCGGUUCGAGUCCGCUUACCUCCACUGAUUACCACCUCUUCCAUAAUUAAUAAAAAGGAAAAGUUUGAGUUGUGAUCAAAUUCUGAACGAAUCUAGCCUCCUAAUCUAAUCAUUAAGAUGCUGGACUCAGUGAAUUAAUUUCAUUGUUUUCAGAGAACCUUGACAACUGCAUAGAUUAUUUUUAAAGACAAUAAGCAUCUUUAAUGAUGCAGAUUUAUUAUUUGUACGAAUGCAUUAAUAACAAUUCUAUUAAGCUGAUGCUUCAAAUUAUGAAGUUAUU
rnacentral:tRNA from 1 species